rnacentral:miRNA from 1 species
UGAAGGCUUUGUGUAAGAAUGAUAGGGUUGAUGGUGCUCAAAAGCUGCUUGUUGAAAUGUCUAACAAGGGAUGCAGUCCUGAUGCGGUUAGCUAUACGACGCUUGUGU